rnacentral:lncRNA from 1 species
GGAAACUAUUCUCAGAAAUUAAAAUGAAGCAUCCAGGGACUUGCAAUACGAUGCUGAGCCUUCCAGCUAUUCUCUAUUCUUCCCUGUCUGAACAGCGUGUUUCUACAUCAAAUGCCUGCAAAGGAAAUGCAAUCAGAAAGAAAGUAAAAUAUUGCCCGCAGUCAUCUGAGGCAUCCUGCUGUGUUGUAUGGGUAAAGACCUGGCUGUAACCAAGGAAAAGGUCUGGAACCCUUCUGUAAAUGCUGGCCUUCAGCGGGGGGAUGCUUUUCCACAGGGAAAGGGGAAGGUGCAGGGUGCCCGGGGAGCUACUGGGGAAGUGAUGCUUUGAAGCUGUGGCUGCGGAGCCAGGUGCCGCUCAGGAAGGUGGCAGUCUCCCCGCGGCCUCUCGUGCCGCCCUCUGGCAAGCGGGGCUCUCUUUGUGCUGCUGCCGCUAAGCAGAAUGCUCUCGUGGACGUGGGCGGUGCUGGGUUUGCUCCUUUUCAUGUGGCUGACCAGAGCACAUGAAGGCAGACAAACGUACUUGUUUGUUCUCCUCGUGCAGCAACUUCAUCCAUACACAGGGUGGAGCUGCACUGCACUUGCCAUGGUUAGCAUGGUUCAGAUUCCAGUAUCAUGAAUUGGCAGGUGGAGGGGAACAGAAGAAACUGGCCUAUCAUAAUAUUCUUACUUUUCCUUCGUUGGAAAACUUGCUGGAUGAAAGAAUCUUAUUUAGGGACAAGGCUGACAAAGACUGACUUAAAAGUUGGGAGAUGAUGCAGCUCUAUAGUAUACUUCUCUUCUUGCAAUGCAAGGAAUGAUAUACAGGGAAUUUGAUAUGAAGGGAUUUUUCAUCUCAUAAAUAAUCUGUUCUUCAUAUUUUCAAAUGUGUGACGGAUACUUUCAGGGAAACUGAAUAAACAAACUAAGCAUGGAUGAUGCUGUGAGCUG